UACGAAGGGGGCUAGCGUUGCUCGGAAUCACUGGGCGUAAAGCGCACGUAGGCGGAUUGUUAAGUCAGGGGUGAAAUCCUGGAGCUCAACUCCAGAACUGCCUUUGAUACUGGCUAUCUCGAGUCCGGGAGAGGUGAGUGGAACUGCGAGUGUAGAGGUGAAAUUCGUAGAUAUUCGCAAGAACACCAGUGGCGAAGGCGGCUCACUGGCCCGGUACUGACGCUGAGGUGCGAAAGCGUGGGGAGCGAACAGG
rnacentral:rRNA from 1 species